GAGGAGAUGAUAAUUGACUGCAAAGUGACACAGAUUGGCUGGCAGAGUGGGUAGAAGGUGGUUAAGGACCAGACACACUGGUGUGUAUGGAGACACACGAAGAGCAAAUCAGGGCGGGAAGAGCAGCCAGCACAGAGUACACAAGCUUUCCAUCGUCUUUAUCCAAACUUCAGAAGACUUACUCUGAUCACAUUCCGUGAAGAAUUUUUAUCAUCCACGUUCACGCUCAGAGAGAAGAAAGCCGCUGUGCUGUACACUCCUUGAGAUUUAUACAAAAGUUCGCCAAAAUUCCACUCCGCGCUG